rnacentral:rRNA from 1 species
CUGUGGGGACGCAUGUGGAAAGCGUAAGCCGGGAAUGGAAAGACCGGUACAAGCGAGGUAGGUGUGUGACAGGCAAAUCCGUCACAUAAGCCGAAGACGUGAUGUGGAGCGAAAUUAAGUAGUGAAGUAUGUGAGCCAUGUGCCGAGAAAAGCCGCUAUUGUUUUAUAUGUGCCCGUACCGUAAACCGACACAGGUGGAUGAGGAGAGAAUCCUAAGGCCGACGGAAGAAGCAUUGUUAAGGAAUUCGGCAAAAUGACCCCGUAACUUCGGGAGAAGGGGUGCCCACUGAAUGGUGGGCCGCAGAGAAUAGGCUCAAGCAACUGUUUAGCAAAAACACAGGUCUAUGCGAAACCGAAAGGUGAAGUAUAUGGGCUGACGCCUGCCCGGUGCUGGAAGGUUAAGAGGAGAGGUUAGCGCAAGCGAAGCUUUGAAUUUAAGCCCCAGUAAACGGCGGCCGUAACAAUAACGGUCCUAAGGUAGCGAAAUUCCUUGUCGGGUAAGUUCCGACCCGCACGAAAGGCGUAAUGAUUUGAGCACUGUCUCGACAAUGCAUCCGGUGAAAUUGAAGUACCAGUGAAGAUGCUGGUUACCCGCGCCAGGACGGAAAGACCCCAUGGAGCUUUACUCCAGUUUGAUACUGGGAUUCGGUACUGCACGUACAGGAUAGGUGGGAGACUGAGAACUAUGGACGCCAGUCUGUAGGGAGUCGCUGUUGGGAUACCACCCCUGUAGUACUGGGUUUCUAACCAUCUGCCGUGAUCCGGCAGUGGGACAAUGUCAGGCGGGGAGUUUGACUGGGGCGGUCGCCUCCGAAAGGGUAUCGGAGGCGCUCAAAGGUUCCCUCAGAAUGGUCGGAAACCAUUUGAAGAGUGCAAAGGCAGAAGGGAGCUUGACUGCGACACCGACGGGUGGAGCAGGUACGAAAGUAGGACUUAGUGAUCCGGUGGUAUAAAGUGGGAUUGCCAUCGCUCAACGGAUAAAAGCUACCCUGGGAUAACAGGCUUAUCACUCCCAAGAGUUCACAUCGACGGAGUGGUUUGGCACCUCGAUGUCGGCUCAUCGCAUCCUGGGGCUGUAGCAGGUCCCAAGGGUUGGGCUGUUCGCCCAUUAAAGCGGUACGCGAGCUGGGUUCAGAACGUCGUGAGACAGUUCGGUCCCUAUCCGGCGCGGGCGGAGGAUAUUUGAGAGGAGCUGUCCUUAGUACGAGAGGACCGGGAUGGACGGACCACUGGUGUAUCUGUUGUCGACCAACGGCAUGGCAGAGUAGCCAAGUCUGGAAGGGAUAAACGCUGAAGGCAUCUAAGCGUGAAGCCCCCCUCAAGAUGAGAUAUCCCUCCUUCGGGAGUAAGACCCCUUGAAGACUACAAGGUAGAUAGGGCAGAGGUGGAAGUGUGGCAACACAUGGAGCUGACUGUUACUAAUAGGUCGAGGGCUUGAC